CGAUGAUAUUUUUGUAACAAAGUAGACAUUUCAAUGUCAGUUAUCACAAAAGCUGACAUAGAAAGUGGAUGUAGUGGUAAUUUCGUAAUAAAAUAGAAGAUUUUCUAUGUCGAUUAUACCUAUAAAGAAAGUAGGUGUCUAUAUUAUUUUAAAUUUAGAAAACACACACUAUGUUGUUCUUCACUAUAACCAACAUAAAAUCUUUCGCACUACACUUCACUAUUCUACUCACAUAUUCUCC
rnacentral:lncRNA from 1 species